rnacentral:lncRNA from 1 species
GCAAAAGAAGGUGUAAAGAGUGUUUAGUGGAAUGAUGAGUGUGUGGAAUAAUGAGUGUUUAGUGGAAUGAUGAGUGUUUAGUGGGAUAGUUGGCAUAUGAUGAGUGUUUCCAACACCAUCAAUUUAUUUAAGAGUAAGAUGGAUGUGGAAAUGUGUAGGUGCUAGAUGAAUGUGAUGAAUAAAAUCCUUAUUCUGUAUUUGUAAUACUAAUUUCGGGUUCCCAUAUAACGAAGCUUC